UACGAAUGGGGCAAGCGUUGUUCGGAAUCACUGGGCUUAAAGCGUGCGUAGGCGGAUUUGCAAGUCAGGAGUGAAAGCCCAGGGCUCAACCUUGGAACUGCUUCUGAAACUGCAAAUCUAGAAUCCGGGAGAGGUUAGCGGAAUUCCUAGUGUAGAAGUGAAAUUCGCAGAUAUUAGGAGGAACACCAGUGGCGAAGGCGGCUAACUGGACCGGUAUUGACGCUGAGGUACGAAAGCGUGGGGAGCAAACAGG
rnacentral:misc_RNA from 1 species